rnacentral:misc_RNA from 1 species
CGGCGCUUUUCGAAACGAAAUCUACGUCGAACUUUCUAGUAUCACGAAUCGUCUGCAAAAUUAAAUACGUUGAAUUGCGUUUUUUCUGUUGCAUCAUUUGUGUUGUCACUACUGAUCAGUCAGCAGCUUCAUAUUCUCCAUACUGUUAUAUAUUGCUCAGACUGGAAUUUGGUGUUCCAAAGCUUGAUUGUUGAUAAGUCCACGAAACUUAAAAUGUUGUCGACCUACGUUGUCCGUAGUGGUUUGACGAAUUUUGUUGGGAAAACUUCCCUGAAACAAGCUACUGUGCUGUUCUCAAAGCCAAAUAUCUACAGCUCAACAUCAAGACAAUUGAAUAAUCAGACUCGUGGGAGUUUAACACGCAGAGCUACUAGAUCCCGCUCUCUGAAAGAAAUUGCAAUGGCUCCAGCUGGAGAAGGAGCAUUUAGUCUUGGUAAAGGAUUAGUUUUAGGAGCAUCUGGUCUUGGGCUUGGUGCUCUUUGCUUCUAUGGGUUAGGAUUUGCCUCUGAACCUGGGGCAAUUGAUAGAUCUGUGAUGUGGCCUGAGUAUGUUAAAGAUAGGAUAAGGACAACAUACAUGUACUUCGGAGGUUCCAUAAUGUUGACAGCUGCUUCAGCAAUGGCUUGUUUUCGCAGUCCUCUAAUUAUGAAGGCAGUAAUGGGAAAUUCUUGGGUGGUCAUUUUGGGCAGCAUUGCUGCAAUGAUUGGUACAGGAAUGAUAGUUCGCAGUAUACCAUAUCAACCAGGGGUUGGGUCGAAGCAAGCUGCUUGGGCACUCCAUUCGGCUGUUAUUGGUGCCGUUGUUGCCCCAUUAUGUUUUCUAGGUGGCCCAUUGCUUCUCCGAGCUGCAGUGUACACGGCAGGAAUUGUUGGUGGAUUAUCCACUGUAGCUGUUUGUGCUCCGAGUGAGAAAUUUUUGAACAUGGGAGGACCUUUGGCCAUUGGUUUUGGCGCAGUCUUUGCCGCAUCACUUGGAAGCAUGUUCUUACCACCUACUACGGCGCUCGGAGCUGGCCUCUAUUCCGUCGCUCUUUACGGUGGCCUGGUUCUCUUUUCCGCAUUCUUGCUUUACGACACCCAAAAAAUUGUACACGCUGCCGAAGUUCACUCUCCUUAUUCUGCUCGGCCCUUCGAUCCCGUCAAUGCAUCCAUUUCAAUUUAUAUGGACACUAUCAACAUUUUCGUCAGGAUUGCCAGUAUUUUGGCUGGAAACAACAGGAAACGUUAAAUUGCGACAUUGGAAGGUUUCCCUUUUUUCUCCCUUUUCACUGUAAAUUUCCGAUAAUGAAUUGAAUGAUCGAGUGAAUAAUGAAAUGAAACCGUGAUUCAGAAUGCAAUUUUAGAUCUGAAAACCCAUAAAGUAGCGGGAAACUUUGGUGUAGUAGAUAAACCAGUUAGGAGUGGCAUUAUACGCUUAUAUACAGUGUGUAAAGGAAAAAGUAUCACGUGUGGAUUAAAAAGACAAACGAGAAAUAAAUCACCAGACAACUA